rnacentral:rRNA from 1 species
AGUGGCGGACGGGUGAGUAACGCGUGGUAACCGUGCCUUGUACUGGGGGACAACAGUUAGAAAUGACUGCUAAUACCGCAUAAGCGCACAGGACCGCAUGGUCUAGUGUGAAAAACUCCGGUGGUGUGAGAUGGACCCGCGUUUGAUUAGCUAGUUGGUGGGGUAACGGCCUACCAAGGCGACGAUCAAUAGCCGACCUGAGAGGGUGACCGGCCACAUUGGGACUGAGACACGGCCCAA